GUGGGGAAUAUUGGACAAUGGGCGCAAGCCUGAUCCAGCCAUGCCGCGUGAGUGAAGAAGGCCUUAGGGUUGUAAGACUCUUUCAGCGGGGACGAUGAUGACGGUACCCGCAGAAGAAGCCCCGGCUAACUCCGUGCCAGCAGCCGCGGUAAUACGGAGGGGGCUAACGUUGCUCGGAAUUACUGGGCGUAAAGGGCGUGUAGGCGGGACAUUAAGUUAGGCGUGAAAGCCCCGGGCUCAACCCGGGAACUGCGCUUGAUACUGGUGACCUAGAGUCCGGGAGAGGGUGGUGGAAUUCCCAGUGUAGAGGUGAAAUUCGUAGAUAUUGGGAAGAACACCGGUGGCGAAGGCGGCCACCUGGACCGGUACUGACGCUGAGGCGCGAAAGCGUGGGGAGCAAACAGG
rnacentral:rRNA from 1 species